GGUCAUUCAAGUUACAAUGCUCUGUGGGCUCUUAUUACCUUAAACAGCAUCAGAGAGGAUUCUACUCUGGGGACCAGCAUCUGUGAGCUUAGGAAAGAAAGGGAGUCCCUUACCCAUGAGGCAGUAACCACGCACAGGCACUGGCUAAGUGGUAGCAUGCAUAUAAAUCUGAAGGAAAAAGUCAGCAAUAUUUAGAAUCAUAACCCUACAUUCUCCUUGACGAAGAUCUCAUCACUUCCAACAUGGGGUAUGAAACAAGACAGAGGCCAAGUUGAUGUGAAAGAGCACAGGCCACUUGAUUAGAGGAAAAUGUUGCAGAAAAAAAUAAAACAAUUUGGGCCUGUGGUGCUUGUCCAUAAGGAGAAGCUAUCAGGAGACCGAGGCAGGAAGAAUCCUAACCUCAAGGCUUGUCUGACUAAAGAUUGAGCUCAAGGCCAGCUUCAGUAAAACUCUGUCUCGAACGGCCUAAAGAUUGCUUGGUAUAUAGAAGAUGUUGUGGAGAACAACGUUGUAAAGAGAACUACUGCCUGACUCAAAUGACCAACAGAGUGGAAUCGGAGCUUUUAAAGUUUCAAUUUGAUAUCCAAGCCUGUCUUUGAUCAGAGCGUCACACAAACGACUGUUCUGAUAUGUUGUGCAAAGGGCUGUCUAGAUAAGCUGUUGUGUUCUGAGCCUUCCUAUGACCACACUAAGACCUGAUAGGUUGAACAGUGAGAAGUGCUAGAAUGAUCCCCACAAUAGAUUCUUCAAAGAAGGAAAAUUAAGAGCACUCGCCGAUAACAAACUAACAACCUCACGAUUUUAAUUAAAAGCCAUUUGCACAACACACAUAUAAACCUCACAUCUAAACACAUCUUUUCCUCAUAGGUGACAUAAUGUGUUAUUCUGUCAUUCUAACUGCACAUGUAUAGUACAUCAACGUCAGUAUCUGCUAAAUAUACUUUACUCUUGAGAUCCUUCCCCAAGUUUGAUGAUCACAUAACACACUGAUAGAUGUGACUCGCCUUUAACCUCCUCAUUAGAAUGACAGAACUGUAUUUGGUUCAAAUGGGAAAGUGGCAUGAAACCUUAAUAAGGGAAAGCCAGCUGAGGAUCUUGCUGUAAGACAAUACCAUGUAUAAUUGGACUUUAAUUAUGCAGAUUUAACAAAUGGCAGAGGAUGAUUGGGUGGUUAUAUUCCUUGACCAGAGAUGCCUGCCAAGUCCCCAAGCCGGUAUUAAUGUACAAAGCAGACUUCCCUGUGACUGCCACUGCUGGGUCCCUACUACAGUGUCAAAAUACUGUUAUUAUUCUUUUGAGAAAAAUAAAUCCAUCGAUUUGCUGAAACAAGUUAAAUUUCUGUUCUAACUCUGAAUGAACAAUCUCGGUAAUAAAUUAUUUUCUUAAGCACAUAAUUAAUUGCCU